rnacentral:rRNA from 1 species
AUUGAACGCUGGCGGCAGGCUUAACACAUGCAAGUCGAACGAGUGGCGGACGGGUGAGUAAUGCUUGGGAAUCUGCCUGAUGGAGGGGGAUAACUACUGGAAACGGUAGCUAAUACCGCAUACCAUCAGAUGUGCCCAGAUGGGAUUAGCUAGUAGGUGGGGUAAUGGCUCACCUAGGCGACGAUCCCUAGCUGGUCUGAGAGGAUGACCAGCCACACUGUAACUGUGACACUGUUCAGGCUCCUCCGGUAGGCAUCAGUGGGGACUAUUGCACAAUGGGCGCAAGCCUGAUGCAGCCAUGCCGCGUGUGUGAAGAAGGCCUUCGGGUUGUAAAGCACUUUCAGCGGGGAGGCGUUACCCGCAGAAGAAGCACCGGCUAACUCCGUGCCAGCAGCCGCGGUAAUAC